AUAUUAUUAAGCGGAGGAAAAGAAACCAACAGGGAUUCCCUUAGUAAUGGCGAAUGAACUGGGAAUAGCUCAAAUUUGAAAUCGGGUUGGCACAAGCCAGUCCCGACGUGUAGUUUGAUGAGGCAAGUUCGGUGAUGGUCUGGGUUAAAGUCCCUUGGAAAAGGGCGUCAUAGAGGGUGAUAAUCCCGUCCAUGAUCCAUGAACCUAUUACCGUGUGAACUGCCGUCAAAGAGUCGAGUUGCUUGGGAGUGCAGCUCUAAUUGGGUGGUAAAUUCCAUCUAAAGCUAAAUAUUGGUGGGAGAGCCGAUAG
rnacentral:rRNA from 1 species